AUUGAACGCUGGCGGCAUGCUUUACGCAUGCAAGUCGAACGGUAGCAGGGUGCUUGCACCGCUGACGAGUGGCGAACGGGUGAGUAAUGCGUCGGAACGUGCCGAGUAGUGGGGGAUAACGCAGCGAAAGUUGUGCUAAUACCGCAUACGUACUGAGGUAGAAAGUGGGGGACCUUCGGGCCUCACGCUAUUCGAGAGGCCGACGUCUGCUAGUAGGUGAGGUAAAGGCUCACCUAGGCGACGAUCAGUAGCGGGUCUGAGAGGAUGAUCCGCCACACUGGGACUGAGGCACGGCCCAGACUCCUGCGGGAGGCAGCAGUGGGGAAUUUUGGACAAUGGGCGAAAGCCUGAUCCAGCCAUGCCGCGUGUCUGAAGAAGGCCUUCGGGUUGUAAAGGACUUUUGUCGGGGAGGAAAUCCCCAGCGUUAAUACCGCUGGGGGAUGACAGUACCUGAAGAAUAAGCACCGGCUAACUACGUGCCAGCCGCCGCAGUAAAAC
rnacentral:rRNA from 1 species